rnacentral:rRNA from 1 species
GGAUUAGUGGCGAACGGGUGAGUAACACGUGGGCAAUCUGCCCUGCACUCUGGGACAAGCCCUGGAAACGGGGUCUAAUACCGGAUACUGACCAUCUUGGGCAUCUUUGAUGGUCGAAAGCUCCGGCGGUGCAGGAUGAGCCCGCGGCCUAUCAGCUAGUUGGUGAGGUAAUGGCUCACCAAGGCGACGACGGGUAGCCGGCCUGAGAGGGCGACCGGCCACACUGGGACUGAGACACGGCCCAGACUCCUACGGGAGGCAGCAGUGGGGAAUAUUGCACAAUGGGCGAAAGCCUGAUGCAGCGACGCCGCGUGAGGGAUGACGGCCUUCGGGUUGUAAACCUCUUUCAGCAGGGAAGAAGCGAAAGUGACGGUACCUGCAGAAGAAGCGCCGGCUAACUACGUGCCAGCAGCCGCGGUAAUACGUAGGGCGCAAGCGUUGUCCGGAAUUAUUGGGCGUAAAGAGCUCGUAGGCGGCUUGUCACGUCGGUUGUGAAAGCCCGGGGCUUAACCCCGGGUCUGCAGUCGAUACGGGCAGGCUAGAGUUCGGUAGGGGAGAUCGGAAUUCCUGGUGUAGCGGUGAAAUGCGCAGAUAUCAGGAGGAACACCGGUGGCGAAGGCGGAUCUCUGGCCAUAUGCCUAGACAAGUGG